GCCCGGGUGGUGGAACUGGUAUACAUAGCAGACUUAAAAUCUGCCGCCUACAUGGCUUGCCGGUUCGAGUCCGGCCCUGGGCACCA
rnacentral:tRNA from 1 species